UCCGUAGGGGGCAAGCGUUGUCCGGAAUCAUUGGGCGUAAAGCGCGUGUAGGCGGUUCGGUAAGUCCGCUCUGAAAGUCCAGGGCUCAACCCUGGGAUGCGGGUGGAUACUGCCGGGCUCGAGUCCGGAAGAGGCGAGUGGAAUUCCCGGUGUAGCGGUGAAAUGCGCAGAUAUCGGGAGGAACACCAAUGGCGAAGGCAGCUCGCUGGGACGUGACUGACGCUGAGACGCGAAAGCGUGGGGAGCAAACAGG
rnacentral:rRNA from 1 species